rnacentral:rRNA from 1 species
UACGUAGGGUGCGAGCGUUGUCCGGAAUUAUUAGGCGUAAAGGGCUCGUAGGCGGUUUGUCGCGUCGGGAGUGAAAACCUCGGGCUUAACUCGGGGCUUGCUUUCGAUACGGGCAGACUAGAGGUAUGCAGGGGGAGAACGGAAUUCCUGGUGUAGCGGUGAAAUGCGCAGAUAUCAGGAGGAACACCGGUGGCGAAGGCGGUUCUCUGGGCAUGAUCUGACGCUGAGGAGCGAAAGUGUGGGGAGCGAACAGG